GCCGGGCGUGGUGGCCCAUGUCUGUAAUCCCAGCUACUUGGGAGGCUGAGGCAGGAGAAUUGCUUGAACCUGGGAGGCAGAGGUUGCAGUGAGCUGAGCACCACUGCACUCCAGCCUGGGCAACAGAGCAAGACUCUGUCUCAA
rnacentral:SRP_RNA from 2 species